rnacentral:misc_RNA from 1 species
UUGAAUUUUAAUGAAGAGUUUGGUUGUAGCUGGCCCAUUCAUUUGGGCAUGUGCACACCUUCCUCUUUCAUCCCACACACACCUGUGAACCUGUGAGACAGAGAUGGGGAAUUUACUUGCUGCUUUUGGAAUACAGAGGCAAUAGGUUAUUGGACCCCCCCUCUGUCUACUCAAUUAAUAUAAACUCAAUUUAUUUUAAAACGAAUGUAAUGGAUGUAACACAUCUCAUAC